rnacentral:rRNA from 1 species
UAAUUUUAAAUGGCCGCAGUAUCCUAACUGUGCAAAGGUAGCAUAAUCAUUAGUCUUUUAAUUGAAGGCUGGUAUGAAUGGUUGGACGAGGUAUUAACUGUUUCAAAUAAAUUUAUAAUUGAAUUUUAUUUUUUAGUCAAAAAGCUAAAAUUUUAUUAAAAGACGAGAAGACCCUAUAAAUCUUUACUUUUAAAUUUAUUUUAAUUAUUAAGAUAAAUUUUAUUAUAAUAAAUUUAGAAGUUUUAUUGGGGUGAUAUUAAAAUUUAAUAAACUUUUAAUUUGUUAAAACAUAAAUUAAUGAAUAAUUGAUCCGUUAUUGACGAUUAAAAAUUUAAGUUACUUUAGGGAUAACAGCGUAAUUUUUUUGGAGAGUUCUUAUCGAUAAAAAAGAUUGCGACCUCGAUGUUGGAUUAAGAAAAAUUUUAGGUGUAGUCGC